UGUAUGUGCAGCUAUGAGUUUCUGUCUCCAACUUUGAUCGUCAAAUAUUUUUGUUGUUAUUAGAUAAUAAAACAUAAAAAGAUAAAACGUACGAUUAAAGUUGAACAUAGAAACUCAUGGUUACACUUAAA
rnacentral:pre_miRNA from 1 species